CAGGGGAAGCUGAAGGGGCUGAUCCAAAGACAUGGAAGGCUUCUCUGGAGAAGUUGGCUGAUGUCUUUGAAGAUGAAGGCUGCUGUUAAGAUCUGUGUUUCAUGUUUUUGAAAAGGGAACAGGAGAUUAGAAGCAUCCCUGUGCCCUUGGGGGGUGCCAAGAAAUAUGUGAACAUACCUCUCUCGGAUGCGGCCCCCUUGGACCAUCUUUUCUGCCGAAACGCUGGAGUCCCAGGAAGCAAGGCAUCCACCCGCACGCGCAUGUGCAGUGAUACGCUCUAGAGCGGCCCUUGGUGAAGACGGUGCGGAGCAGAGCAACUGGGGCGCGGAGCUGAUGCUUCCAACCGCGGAGAACAGGAUAAGGCAGCCAGAGGGAUCGCAUAUGACAGUAGUGUGCGCCCUCCACUGCCCCCCACCAGCUGCUGCUCAGGGUUCCUUGAUGAAGAUGCUUUGAGAAUUUUAGGCCCCAAGCUUUCCUCACAUUUCGGCAGAAGGUCUGAGUCACCCUGCCACGUAAAGAACCAUGUCCAGAUGAGAUGUGGCUGAGGACAAAGGAAAAUGCACAGGCUAGCAGAAGAAGGAAAUUCUCAAUACCAAUGCUGUCUCCUGAUCAGUUGCAGAAAGGAAGUCUUUUUGUGGUGAACCCUAUAAUUGGGCAUUUAAGUUGCUGGAUAUCAAAGGAAGAUUGCAUCUGGACUAGGAGUGAAUGUUCCCAGAGCUGAAGCCACACAUGGCAUAUUCCGUGUCUUUGUCUUUCUUUUUAGGGGGCAGGUCAGAACUUCUUAAAUCAUGCACGUCUUAGAUGGUGAUGGGGCGGUUUUCAGAUUGGUACUUGUGGAGUCCACGAGGGGCAAACAACCUCACCCUCGAG